rnacentral:misc_RNA from 1 species
CUGUUCGAGCGUCAUUAUAACCACUCAAGCCUUGGCUUGGUCUUGGGGUUCGCGGUUUCGCGGCCCUUAAAAUCAGUGGCGGUGCCGUUUGGCUCUAAGCGUAGUAAUUCUCUCGCUAUAGGGUCCAGGUGACCACCUGCCAGAACCCCCCAUUCUUUACGGUUGACCUCGGAUCAGGUAGGGAUACCCGCUGAACUUAA